rnacentral:tRNA from 1 species
GCGGCGGUCGUUUAAUGGUAGGACUCUAGCCUUCCAAGCUAGAAGCGAGGGUUCGAUUCCCUCUCGCCGCACCA